UACGUAGGGGGCAAGCGUUGUCCGGAUUCAUUGGGCGUAAAGAGCGUGUAGGCGGCCAGGUAGGUCGGUUGUGAAAACUGGAGGCUCAACCUUCAGAGGUCGACCGAAACCAUCUGGCUAGAGUCCGGGAGAGGAGAGUGGAAUUCCUGGUGUAGCGGUGAAAUGCGCAGAUAUCGGGAAGAACACCCGUGGCGAAGGCGGCUCUCUGGGACGGUACUGACGCUGAGACGCGAAAGCGUGGGGAGCGAACAGG
rnacentral:rRNA from 1 species